UACAAAGGGUGCAAGCGUUAAUCGGAAUUACUGGGCGUAAAGCGCGCGUAGGUGGUUUGUAAGUUGGGAUGUGAAAUCCCCGGGCUCAACCUGGGGAACUGCAUUCGAAAACUGACAAGCUAGAGUAUGGUAGAGGGUGGUGGAAUUUCCUGUGUAGCGGUGAAAUGCGUAGAUAUAGGAAGGAACACCAGUGGCGAAGGCGACCACCUGGACUGAUACUGACACUGAGGU
rnacentral:rRNA from 1 species